GACGAACGCUGGCGGCGUGCCUAACACAUGCAAGUCGAGCGAAGUGUUUAGUAAGAUCCCUUCGGGGUGAUUCGCUAAAUAUCUUAGCGGCGGAUGGGUGAGUAACGCGUGAGUAACCUGCCUUUCACAAAGGGAUAGCCUCGGGAAACUGGGAUUAAUACCAUAUGAUACUUCUUUUUCGCAUGGAUUAGAAGUUAAAGCGUAAAGCGGUGAAAGAUGGACUCGCGUCCCAUUAGUUAGUUGGUGAGGUAACGGCUCACCAAGACUGCGAUGGGUAACCGGCCUGAGAGGGUGAACGGUCACACUGGAACUGAGACACGGUCCAG
rnacentral:rRNA from 1 species